rnacentral:rRNA from 1 species
CGAAUGAGGGGAGCUUGNUCCCUGAUUUAGCGGCGGACGGGUGANNAAUGCGUAGGAAGCUGCCCGAUAGAGGGGGAUACCAGUUGGAAACGACUGUUAAUACCGCAUAAUGUCUACGGACCAAAGUGUGGGACCUUCGGGCCACAUGCUAUCGGAUGCGCCUACGUGGGAUUAGCUAGUUGGUGGGGUAAUGGCUCACCAAGGCGACGAUCCCUAGCUGGUUUGAGAGGAUGAUCAGCCACACUGGAACUGAAACACGGUCCAGACUCCUACGGGAGGCAGCAGUGGGGAAUAUUGGACAAUGGGCGCAAGCCUGAUCCAGCCAUGCCGCGUGUGUGAAGAAGGCCUUCGGGUUGUAAAGCACUUUCAGUGGGGAGGAAGGGGUUGUAGUUAACAGCUGCAAUUUUUGACGUUACCCACAGAA